rnacentral:rRNA from 1 species
AUGCAGAUGAACCGGCAAUGGAUGUACGAUGAACGACGCACCUCCGAGUACAUUACAGGCCUGCAAAAUUUUCUAGAUGUGGCUGCGGCAAACAGUCAGGAUGGUUUUAUGUAUUGUCCAUGUACCGUCUGUGGGAAUACAAAGGAUUAUUGA